ensembl:lncRNA
AAGUAUUUUGAGCUGGAUGACUCUUUGUGUGUUGCAUACCCAGAUGUGUCUCCUCAGCCUUGAUACAUUUCUUGUGUAAAAGAAUUCUCAUUAGUUACUCAACACUCCUCAUUCCGGGCUGACAAGGGUUUCCUGAUGACAGUUCCCCACCCGUCCACCCUCCAGCGAACCUUUUACCAUAAGCUCUCUUAGUCUGGAUUUCUCCUCUCUCUCUCUCUCUCUGACUCUGACUCUGACUCUCUGUCCCCUGCAACCCUCUGUGCCCUAACCAUUGUGGCCCAUCACCCAAACAAAAAUGAAGUUUGCUUGGUUUGUUUGGUACACCAUAUGCACUCAGCCAAUUCAAUUUAGUUGGAAGCCUUAACAAGAGAAUUAGACUGUAAUCCCCUUUAAGCUUCACUAUGCUCUUGACAUCAUGGAAAGAGGUCUGCAAAGCCAGUGUCAUCAUUUGAUGUUGCUUAACUGUUUCACUGACACUUUGGAUACCAACUAUAUGAUUUGCACACAAUGAGUAGAGGCAUGGACAGAGCUUUUACUUUCCCAUGCUCCAUGCUCCAUGAAAGGAAGAAAGGGCUCUAGCAUCUAAACAGCUGGAUACUGACAAAUUAUGUUUUAGCCCAUUUCAAAGUUCUUCUUCAUGAAGUCAAAGCAUCAACAGAACAACCUGAUCUGACCACUCACUUCCCAAAAGGGUGUCCUGUCCUUCCAUAUGACAUUGAAUGAGUCCAGGAGGCCAGGGACUCCCCUGUCUGCCCUCGGAGUUCGCCUAGGGCAGUGUUACAGCCGUCUCUGACCCCACCACCCACCACUCCUCACCCGCCGUCCUGCCAAGGUCUGACGGUGCAGUGGCUGGAUAAGAGGUCCCUUCUCCCGGAGGAGAGUGGCUCUGAACUGCCACAGCGCUGGUGUGAGUCUGUGAGCCUCUGCCACUACAGCCUGCUAAGUGCUUUACAGUACAGCAUGA